CCCCCUUAGGUGGGACAGGAUGGCUAGAGUGGGCUGCCGCUGGGUACUUCCCCUCCCCCAUGUGGAAGGCUAGAGCUGACUGGAGUAUUUCCCUUCCCUCCAGGUCCGGUUUUCCUACCCUGACGCUGGUUCCUGAGGUCAUUUCGGCUAAGAGCGUUUCUGCUCUGAUGCUACCUAAUUUAUGACAUUACACAAACUGUAUUUCCUCAUGACAACAAAUUGAGACUUACUGUUAUCGGAG